rnacentral:rRNA from 1 species
UGACCUCGGAUCAGGUAGGAAUACCCGCUGAACUUAAGCAUAUCAAUAAGCGGAGGAAAAGAAACCAACAGGGAUUGCCUUAGUAACGGCGAGUGAAGCGGCAACAGCUCAAAUUUGAAAUCUGGCCUCUUUGGGGUCCGAGUUGUAAUUUGGAGAGGAUGUUUCGGGUACGGUCCGGGCUUAAAUUUCUUGGAACAGAAUGUCAAAGAGGGUGAGAAUCCCGUCUGGAGCUCGGACACGGCCUAUGUGAAACUCCUUCGACGAGUCGAGUUGUUUGGGAAUGCAGCUCUAAAUGGGUGGUAAAUUUCAUCUAAAGCUAAAUAUUGGCCAGAGACCGAUAGCGCACAAGUAGAGUGAUCGAAAGAUGAAAAGCACUUUGAAAAGAGAGUUAAAAGUACGUGAAAUUGUUGAAAGGGAAGCGCUGGCAACCA